CCUACGGGAGGCAGCAGUGAGGAAUAUUGGUCAAUGGGCGAGAGCCUGAACCAGCCAAGUCGCGUGAGGGAGUACUGCCCUAUGGGUUGUAAACCUCUUUUGUCGGGGAGCAAAAGCCGGACGUGUCCGGCUGUGAGAGUACCCGAAGAAAAAGCAUCGGCUAACUCCGUGCCAGCAGCCGCGGUAAUACGGGGGAUGCGAGCGUUAUCCGGAUUUAUUGGGUUUAAAGGGUGCGCAGGCGGAUUUUUAAGUCAGCGGUAAAAUCGUGGGGUUCAACCCCAUCCAGCCGUUGAAACUGGGGAUCUAGAGUGUGCGAGAGGUAGGCGGAAUGCGUGGUGUAGCGGUGAAAUGCAUAGAUAUCACGCAGAACCCCGAUUGCGAAGGCAGCAUACCGGUGCACAACUGACGCUCAGGCACGAAAGCGUGGGUAUCGAACAGGAUUAGAUACCCCAGUAGUC
rnacentral:rRNA from 1 species